rnacentral:snoRNA from 1 species
ACUAUAAUGAUGAAGCAUUUGGAUAAAAAACAAAACACCCACCGAGAGCGCAAAACCGUGUGGAUAUCUCCGUUGCCUUCCUUCUGAUCUAUAC